CUACGGGCUGCUCCAGUGAGGAAUAUUGCACAAUGGGGGGAACCCUGAUGCAGCAACGCCGCGUGGAGGAUGACGCAUUUCGGUGUGUAAACUCCUUUUAUAUGUCAAGAAAAUGACGGUAGCAUAUGAAUAAGCACCGGCUAACUCCGUGCCAGCAGCCGCGGUAAUACGGAGGGUGCAAGCGUUACUCGGAAUCACUGGGCGUAAAGGACGCGUAGGCGGGUUGGAAAGUCAGGUGUGAAAUCCUACAGCUUAACUGUAGAACUGCACUUGAAACUUCUAAUCUAGAGUAUGGGAGGGGGAGAUGGAAUUAGUGGUGUAGGGGUAAAAUCCGUAGAUAUCACUAGGAAUACCUAAAGCGAAGGCGAUCUCCUGGAGCAUUACUGACGCUAAGGCGUGAAAGCGUGGGGAGCAAACAGGGUUAGAUACCCCCGUAGUC
rnacentral:rRNA from 1 species